UGCUUCCCUUUCAUUGCAGUUGUUCGCCUCUCAACAUGCUAGUAGAUUUGAAUUCGAAAGCUACCCUUUCGCUGAAACAUGAUCAUAUUUAUUAUGUGGCCUGUGGCCUGUGCCCGAGUGCAAAUGCAGUAGUUUUGUUUGUAGCAUGCCUUGAUGCUAUCAUUACUAGAUGCUCCUAUUUAUACUAGUUUUCUGUUGUUCCUUCGAAAUUGCCUUGCUGACUGCCGUGUUAUUUUUGACGAAAUAUGCUGCAAAUGUAUUUGUUUUAUGUGUCUAAGAUUCAUUAUCAUCCAUUUAAGCAUAGACAUAAAAAUCAAGAGCUAAAACGACUAAUAUUUUUGGAUGUGAGUAUUUUAUUGUAUUGGCGUCUUAUUUUUAAAAUAUUACCAUGACAUGAAUGUCUUUAUAUAUUAAUCUUGUUGCAUACCUUCUGGUAUCAUCGAAGUUUUGCCAGCUACUUAGCUAUUUUAGUUGAUAUUUGACUGAAUUCUUAUGCUACAACUGAUGUUUGCCUACAGAAUGAGUGCUAUUGACACUUUAAAUCUCAGGCUAUGUACUUUGUUUGACCAAAAAAAUUGUUUGCACAACAAAUUAGUAUGUAUGAUGAUCUCUAGUAUUAUUGGUGUUUCAUCUUCUGAUUUCAAUUGUGUGUUUUUUUAAUAAUUUUUUACUUAUUCUUUAUCUGCUGAAACAUUAUAAUUGUUUUCUGAGGAAGGUUUAGGUAGUUUAAUAUUGACUAUUUUUACUUGCAUUUUUUUGACAUAAAUAUUGUACUCUGCUGAAAUUUCAUUUUUAUUUCCUGUUUGCUGUGUCUGUUUGCUUAAUAUGCCGUUUUGGACUGGGUUUUAUGAUCUAUUAAUGAUCUCUUUUGUGUGCUUUUAGAUGGACCCCAAGUUUCUGAGGAACUUGAGGUACUCAAGGAAGGGCAAUAAGAAGAGUUGUGAGGCUGAGUCAGAGGAGUGAGAUGAUGCCUGAGUUUGUGGCGACAAAUGCAUCUCUUGUAUCGUUAGGGUCUUAGUUGUGAACUUAAUUUUCACAUCUGUAUGAUUAAAAGAGAUUCAUCAAUUGGUACUGAAGUGUUGUUUUUUUGUCUUGUUGCCUAUCUGGAGUUUAUUUAACUAAAAUCAUCAGUUGUGUCCUUGAGAAUCGGGCACUUAAUGUAU
rnacentral:lncRNA from 7 species